rnacentral:lncRNA from 1 species
AGGCAUCGAGAUGGUCAGCUGGAGGAUACAUGAUGGUGGAGUGAGGAGAUUGAGGGAGGUCUGAUACAUAUCCGAUUUUAGGUGGAAUCUUAUCUCACUGAGCAAACUGAAUUCGAGAGGCUACAGGAUGGUAGCUGAUAGAGAAAUCCUGAAGGUGUUGCAUGAUGAUAGAAUUAUUCUAGAGGAGAAGAAGAGGAUGAGAAGAUAUUACUACCUGACGAGGAGCCUAAUGUGAGGUGAAGCUUCAAGAGUCAGG